rnacentral:lncRNA from 1 species
CCUGGUUAAUUGUUCAUGGGCUGGUCUGAUAGAGGUCUGAUAGAUUCAGCGCGGUAUUUUGGCGCCACUUCAAAAAAAAGUCGAUCCUGGCCUCAUUGAUGCCAGUUCAUACUCAUUUCUACCUCCAAUUUCAUUUUAAUUAUAAAAUAAUGGAUUGAAUACUCCUUUCCUUGAAUUUUUCGGUAAUAUAACGAUCACAGAGUCGUUAUCCAUACUCCAGAAUUGCUCAUCUUGGCGAUUAUUCCAUCUAAUGAAUUGUAAAUUUUGCAAUAAUUUAAUGGGCAGCAACUGUGUAAACUUUCAAUCAAUGAACAAAGAACAGUGGUGGGGAUAAUUAUUCAGGAUUUUGUUUACGUUUGAAAGUGAGGUUAUUUUGUGAUCGAAAGUUGUGUAAUCCUAUCAGUAACUCAGUUACUCAGUGACUAAUUGACUAUGGUUUGUAGAGUAGAUUAUAACAGCUUUUUGAAAAAUUUGAAAGUUUCUUUUCUAUUGUGGUAGUUUAAUACCACACUACUUUCACGACCUCUUCAUAGACCUAUAAAAUGAAGCGAGGCAAUGCGGCCAAAAAUGAUAAGCUCUCUAGCUUGAAAAAAGACUUCAGCAAAAAAUUACCAUCAUCCACACCAGUGGCCUCUCCAAGAGUAGCAGGCAGUACCGAAUUGAGUGCCAAAAAGAGGUUGCUCCAAAAGUUAGAAAUGAAACGCCGUCCAGUGCCAAUAGUGUGAAAGAUAAUAAGACGAGUAAAAGCUCUGCCAAUUGCCCAGUACCCAAGCCAAGGAAAAUAGUGAACGCCACUUCCAAUGGCUCAGUCAAGGAGCCUGAAAUUUCAGUCGUUGAUCAAGAAUCUGAUGGGUCCGCAGUCUCUGUAUCCAAUAUCCAAAUGCCCGAACUCUCCAGUAUUGCCAGUAAUGGAAGACCAGAAGUUCAAGAGGGUUGCAACCUGUACCUGAGGUUUUUAUAUGAUGAAGUAAAUGCUCACAAGCUGGAGGCUCCGAGUUUCCUGAGGGUGCCAGAAUCUAGCUACAGUGUAACGCUUCGACAUGCUGCGAAUGAAUUUUCAAACUCCUCUCAUCGAUUAAGGGUUAGAGAUCAUGCUGAAUCCGUUCAACUGGAAAGUCUUUCAAUAGAUGCCUUUUUUGAACUUUUGGAUGGACUAUUUAAGGAAGGAGGGGUCACUUACGAGCGUGUUCUUGUUCUAUUUUUCUUCUGCACCGACAUCACCGUUCGAGCACUCCGUGACAAUUUAGUCAACUUCUUCAAUGACUUAGUUGGUUGGACUCUAAAGUUCUUUUCAGAGAAUUUAUUUGACUGGGUACAACGGAACGGUGGUUGGGCUCGCGUUCUGGAAAAAUCAAUGGACUUUACUUACAAAGCUUUAUUACUGACAACGUUAUGUUUCUCCACACUCGCUCUCAUCUCAUAUCUUCGCAGAAAUGAACCCUGUCCAUACAGAGUAGUUUUUAGAAUCAUUUCUCAACAGUGUUUUCCAAGAAUAGCAUCCACAGUUAGGGUAAAAUUUAGGCCUAAGGGUGCUGAAUAAGUCGAGCACCUUGCGUUCGUAGAAGCUUGCAAGUUGCUGCUUCUCAAUGAUGAUUCAUCUUGACUGGAAUCAUUGGAACCACAAUGUUCAGCUUCAAUUUUUUUGCUGAUUUUUUACUUAGCUUGGACAAUAAUUCUGUCCGACUAAGAUAAGUCUCAAGGUUUAAAUUUUAGAAAUGACUUUUGCAAGUCUGACCUGGGUAUUUGCCCAAUUUUAGCCAUGUAUGACUCGUGGUCUUUGAAUUUUAUCCGUGUGAAGCGCUGUUAAAAAAGUUCCUGCUGAGAGUGGCACAUGUUACAUAGAAUUUUGGGACCAGCCAGUCAUGCAGGAAGCAGUUUUUUUUACAGGUAGAUAAGUGUUAAAGACAAAAAGGAAGGACUCCUCUCUCAUCUGGUGCCGUGUCUGGUUUAAAUCAGGGUCACACAUUUUUCAAUUAAGGAGAAAUACAUCUGGUGUCUUGAAUUGAAUUUGAUGAUAUCAUGUUUUUCCCUCCAUGAUUUACUUUUAUGAAAAGCAAGACCUUAUAGAAAAAUUGGAAGUCUUUAAAAAAUUCCAAAAUAUUGCUACUUAUACGAGCUGAACAUACUGCGUAGCAAUUCAGUUGAAUUUUAGUGUGAACAUUAUGUAGUGUAUUAAUUUAAGAUACUUUUAAACACCUAUCUGUUACUCACUGAUCUCAAAUCUUUCAAUUUUUAGCUUUUUAUCAUUAGUCAUAUGUAUUUUAAGUAGGGCUGUGCGAAUGUGGUUUUUUUGAUGUCGAAUCGAAUCGAAUCGAAUAUUUUGAAAAAGUUUCGAAUUCGAAUCGAAUCGAAUAUUUUUAGUUUUUAUCUAUUUUUAACCAAAAGCAACCUCUAUGUUAGUCGAAGUAUAAAUCGAAUAAAUAAUUAUUUUUCUUUCUAACAUUCAAUUUUGAACAAAGAAAUUACUAUUAUAGAUAAAAAAAUCAAGAAUUAAUCAAUUCAUUUAAUUAUCAAAUGGUUAUGCACACAUUUUGAUUUGCUGGGGAAAGAUUAGAAGGGAGAGAAAAUCGUUUCCUUUAAUUAAGGACGAGCAAUUGAUUGAACUGUUGCGGCACAGUAAAACUGCUGCUUACUGUCCGUAAAUCAAUUUUAUUCUGUUUUACUGCACAUCAAUGCUGAUCUUGCAAAGAUAGUCCAGCAACAUUGUAAAGACCAGGGUGCCGCGCGAGGCGGAGGAGGAUAGGUUAUGGACAUCAAUAUGGCCGAAUGUGUGAGUAUUCGGUCUUUCUCUUUAGAUAUUCGAAGUUUUGUCAAUGUUCUCGAAUAAUUCGAGUAUUCGAGGUUUCUAAGUUCGAGUUCGAAUCGAAUAUCGGAAAAAUUAUUCGAACUCGAAUAUUCGAGAUUUUCGAAUAUUCGCACAGCCCUAAUUUUAAGGCAGUACCGUCCUUGCUGUUUAAAAAGCCGAAGAUAUGCACUACCGACGUCCUAAAUUUCUCCAAGAAACUUUUCGACAUUAACUAGUUUUUCCUAUUUAUUUUAGAAUUUUUAGACGUUAAGAAACUUCCCAAGCAUUCUCUCAAGACGUAGUAUUACCUCUCAUGUUGUUUAAGAUGAGGCAUUUGUCUUUCGAAGCUGUAGGUACUUAAAUGUGUCCAUUAUAAAAAGUAAUUUAUUGAAACUUCACUAAUGAAACCGGUUACAAGAAAAAAGAAAAGAAAACAGUAUUUACACUAAAUGUCAGCGGCCGCAAAAUUUUAUUUCUCAAUUUUAAUUAAUGCAGAUUUAUACUUCAGAUGUUUUGAGUGAAUAUCAAAUCCAGAAAAAUGUAUUUUGCAAUACCUGUUUAGAUAAUGAACUUAUCUAUGUGGCUCACCGGAAGAUUCUAUCAUAGAAUGAUGAAGUCUUUUUUUUCCUUUCUUUAGAAAUUUUAUUUGUGAAGUGCUUUUGCAAAAUUUUGCCUAAUAUUUGAGGACUUGUGUGAAUCUUUUCAGUUUUGAUGUUUCAAACUUUUCUUUUAUAUUUUUAUCCUUAACUGGAAAAAAAUGCUUGUAGAGAGAUGAAAAUUCAACCGUAAAUUCUUCAUGAUUUAACCAUAUUUUCAGCGCAACUCUCAAAUUUAAUCAUCCAAUAGUUUCUUCACAUAAAUAUUAAUUGUUGGUGGCGACUCUGAAACAGACAUAUCGGAGAAUUGCCCCUUUUGCACCACAGUCCUCAAUUAUUAUUAGGUAAUCAGAAUUUUUAAAAAUGAUUGUUAUACAUACAUGACUGCAAACUCUGCUGUAAUUUCUCAGAAUUCUUUAGUCUAUCAGUAAGGCUUUGCUCUAUUAUUUUCAAGACAUCAGUAGUCAAUUUAUGAUCCUCUAUGCUAGAGAGUCUCCUUUCUUCAAUGCCUGUGCUCUUUCAAUGUAUUAGAGUAAGCUAUUAUAGUUUUUAAUUCCAUUACCUAGAUGUUUUCUGAUUGCCAUAAUGUCUUUGUUGAUUUGACCUCUUUUUUUCUUCUUUUUUUGUGCAAAGGAGACUCCGUACUUGUCAUUCGAUAACGUAGAAAUGAAGCAGGAAGUGAUGGCCGUUGUAGAUUUAGUAGCCGUUCUUAAUGUCGUUCGAUAGCGUCAUUGGAUACCUUAUAAAAUUUCCAAUGCAUAUUCAGGAGAACAGUAUACAUAUUAUCCAGUAAAAUUGAUCCAUGUUUCGCCCCCUGAGAAAUGAUGUCAAAUUACAGAAAAAGUCGCCGAAAUUUUCAGAGUAUAACGGCUAUUUUCCAGGAACUUUAUUCCUAGUUUCAUAUACUAGCAUCAUGAUAAUAAGUGCAUUUCCCAACCGGCUACCUCAGCUAUCCUAGCUUUCUAUGGUCGGAUCACUGCUUGAGCGUAGCUUUGCUUUCAUGUGAGCUUUGGAAAGUAUGAAGUUUUAAGGACCAAAGGACUCAUAUCAAAGUGUAAGAGAUGCUUUUUUGUCAGUAGAGUGACAUGAAGACAGUCGGUGACUCAAAAAGAGGGAGCUCUCAAUUUUGGUCAUUUAGUGAUGAAAUGAAUUGCUCAAUUAUGUAAAGCUGAUAUUCUAUUUCAUUAAAAUUCUGGUCAUAAAAUCAAGUGACUUUCUUUUAUUUCCAAGUAUAUUUUAAUUUAGGAAAAAUGCUAUGACUGGGAUAAUAACGAGGGAGAGGGAAAAGACAGUAGAACGAACACACCAUACAUGGAGGAAAUCGAAGCCUACAUUGCGUAAAUAACAGGAUGCUUAGACCUGGCUGCGGUCUCAGACGACUUGUGCCUUGCAGGAUAGGCCGCCCGCUUGACCAGCAUGCGGCAUGGAUAUAGCAAAAAACGAUCAUUUUGGAUAUGUUAUGAAACUUAUAUGAAUUUUCAAGCACUAAUAAUUUGCAUUUACUUACUGUUAAUUACCAAACCUAAGUAUUCUGGUUGAUAUUCAGACCUAAAGGGUAUUU